rnacentral:lncRNA from 1 species
UCUGAGGACUGCCAGCACGCUGUCACCUCUCACCAUUGUCUUUAUACCAUUCCUAUGAGAGAGAUCAGCAGCUUUAUCCUGACUUACAGGUUUGGAGUGGACUAUAAAUAAAUUGGGAAGGUAUCGUAAAUUAGCUUUUUGAAACUGGAAUUAGUGUCCUGUCUUAAAGUCUGCAGGAAUUACAAGACUCGAGGAAGAGAAUCAUUGGUGGUUUGGGAAGCUCUGACAAACAAUUAAGUAGAGAAUGAUUUAGUACACAGCUCAGUUCCUGAACAUUCUCAUUGCUGCCUCUGGUUACAAAAAAAUCUUGCCAAGACAAAAAUGUUACUUCUGUAUAAAUCCCUCUCAUUCGAACUUAAACAUAAUAACUAAUAAUAUCCAGAAUGAUGACUUGAAUUUUAUAAUCAGUGUUAAGUGGAUUUUAAAUACAGAAAAUUUCAUGAACUUUCAUGGCUUUAACUAAACAUGUUUGAAUAUGGUAAGGAUUUUUCUAUGUGUAUAUUACUAUGCAGUGUGGCUCUGACUCUGAUUGCAUUCAAUAUUCCAUCUGAUUAAACCAUGUUUACUCAUUUCUCCCCUCACUAGAUGCCCUUCUUGAAACCUUCCCUCAAUACUCCUAUGAGGAGGCUUUAAAUGCUCUGAAUCUAUUACAAAGAUAAAUACCAGGGAAGUCAAUUUUAACAAACCUUGAAAUAACCUAAAUGUCUAUUAGUAAGAAAGUAAUUAAAUUAAAAAUGUUGUAUACUCAUGUGAUGUAAUAUUUUGCAGCUGGAAAAAAGUAAAAUAGAAUACAGUUGUUUAUUUGGAAAAAUGUCCAUAUAUGUUGCUAAUUUCUAAGACAAAAAGGAAAGUUUCAGAAUGAAGUGUAUAAUGGUUGCACUUAUGUUAAAACUCUAUACACCCAUAGCUUCAGAAACAUGAAGGUAAAUAGAUUAAUAUCUAUAGCUGUAGAUAGGUUAAAAUAAAGAAAGGUGGAUGGAUAGAUGGGUAGAAAGACAGAAAGGAAGUAGACAUGAAGAUAUUCAUGAGAAUUUUUGAAAAAGAAUCAAACGAUUCUGAUAACAAAUGUUAAUUUCUGGGGAGUUCAAAUGAAAUGUGAGAAAAGAGACUUUCACUUUCUUCUAAAUACUUUUACAGAGUGUUUGAAUUUUUUGUAAAUGCGUAUUACACUUAAAAUUUUUAAUUAUUAAUUUUUGUAGGUAUGUGACUGAGUAUCCCAUUUUUCUAAGAGAUAGCUUAUUAUUUUUCUCUCUCUUCUUUUUCCUCUCCUCCUUUUCCUCACUUCUUACUUAGCUCUUUAGAAAUGCAAUUAUAGCCUCUUAUCUCCCAUUUACCAGGCACUCCUUACAGGGCAAGUUCAUCUCCAGAGCAGAACCCUCACCCAUCAGGAGGUUGCCUUGGGAGAUAACAGUUGAUUGACAACCCAGCAUAUGCCUGCUAGAGUUUUUGGCUGCAUUUACAGCCUGUUUCUGCCCAUGAAGAAGCCAACUCGAAUGCCCGGUAGAUAAGGCACCAAAAUAUCAGCUGAGGUUUCCCAAGCUCCCUAAAAUCUACAGAAGUUCGGCUCAAACCCCUAUCCCAGAUGCUGGAGAUGACCAAGUUCUCCAGAAACACGUAGCAAAUUCCAGGGUGGGAAGGAGAAUCUGAGCAAGGAGACAACGAUUACAUUCUCAUGGUCACUUGUCUCUUGAGCUAGUGCUUUAUUGGAAUUAGUUUAUUCUGUUAAGAGUUUCCCAAAUGUCCUGUCUUUAUGUUACACUCACAACAAAACAGACAUAAAGCACUGGCUUAGCCUCCAGUUCCACAGGAGCCUCAUCAACCCAUGCCUUCAACUGACGCCUAAGCUGAGACUAAAGAAGAUGGUAACCAAGUGAAGAGAUGGAGGUUUGGAGUGUCCAAGCAGAGAAACUACAUGUGGAAAUGCAUCGAAGCAAGAAAGAGCAUGACAUCUUCUUAGUACUGAAAGAAAAUACGACUGGACUUCAAAUAUUUUCUCAUUCGUGGGGUUAAGAGGUGGGUGUUUCUUUACUCCUCCUUUUCAAUACAUCCCAACAAAACAUCUGUGCACUUCUUUAGACAAGACCAAAAUGCAAAUAUUUUCGUUGCUGUUCUUUGUACUGUCACCAAAUCAAAAUAGUACCUUAGUUUUGUAUAAUUCUUUACAGUUUUCAAAGCAAUUUCCACUAUCUCAUUUGAAAUUCUCAGAGGCCCCUCACCACCAAAGAUAAUCAGUGAACUAUCUUUUUCAUGGAUCCAUUUGUGGGUUUCAACAAAAAUUAACUAUAGAACUUACUGAAACAUCAAACAUUUUAAGAAAUGGGAAAUAUUAUUUUUUUAACCAAAAAGCAAAAAGAGUGGUUUUUCAGACACACUUAUUGCAUAUAGCAAAGCAGCUCAUUUGGUGGGUGGGGGUGGGGUAUGGCAUUUUUUUUGUCUUACAGCCACGAGAAGCAGCAUUUUAGAAUAAUUAUUUACAAAUUUGUAAAACUUUAAAAAGAAUAGACUAUAUAACAUGUUGAAAUAGAAUCAUUGUUACACUUUGAUAAAACAUUAAACAAAACCCAGGUCUCCCUUUUCACCUUUCUAACCUCCCCUUUGGUCUGAUGACAGUCAUGGGGGUGAGGGAUUCACCGGGAUUCAGGUAGGGGCUCUGGGCCUGCCUAAGCCUUGCCAAGAAGCAGUUACCAGCUUGGCAGUGCAUACCUGAAGAAGGACAAUUGAACAUAAGGCUCUGUUGACGUGCCUGUAAAUUGUUCUGUUAGAGUUGGUCUAUUUAAAGCAAUUAUGAAUGCAUGGGUCAGUGCUAUUGGAAAAGAGCACUUUUGUACCCUUUCACAGGCCUCAGAAGCAGUGUAUUCUCCCCAUCUGACCCUCCGGAUGGUUCCAGGCCAAGCGUCUCUCAGGGAAGGCUGGUUUCUCUCAACGCCCCCUUUCUGUCUGUGUUUCUUGGUUACCAGACUUGCUUACUUUGUACUAUCCUCAGAGCCCAUGACUUCCUCUGCUUUUUUCCCUAUGGAACCUUCCUUUUCUCAAAAGUGCUCACAACCUUCUCUGUGUCUUAGUGAUCACAAGACUGAGCACAUUUCCUGUUCGCUGAAUAAGCUCUAUUCAAUACAAAUAAAUUAAAGAGGAAUAAGCAAAUUGCUUUAACGUUGUGAUUGCUCAUUAAGACUCUGAAAAAUACUCAAGAGCAUAGACUUGUUCCCUUAGAAAUACGAUCAACAGGUCAUUGAAAUCUUUGAACAUUAAGUAACUGCUAUGUGUAGAAGUGUUAUAUUGACAUUGUUACUGUGGAUCUCAUUUUCUCGCUGUUUUGAUAAUUUUUACUCCACAUUCCAUUAAAAUUAUUAUUUUAAAAAAUUAACACAAAGGCUUUCCCUUCCUCUGUGAUGGGCACCAGACCAAAGUUGAUGUGCAAUAGAAAGGAAAUAUUAAUCAGAGUGCAAAGCAGUGGAAAGAUCCCCACUGCUUUGCAGAUUAGAAAUGGAUGUCAGGAAGUUUCCUGCAGGAGGCCAUGUUAUUUCUUUACUCUCUUUGUAAAGAAACAAUUUACAAAAAAUGUUGAGUCUUGCCCUAGGAGGAAGGCGGUCCUGGAGACAAUGGCUUUGCCCUGAAGAAGACCAUGCUGUUGAACACCAUAUAAAUGAUGUGGCAGUGAGAGCCGAAGGCUGUGGGAUCUGAGAGCUGGCUCAGCCUCACUGCCCACCAGUCAUGGGAUCUUGGUGAAAUCACCAAUUCCUCUGAGCCCCAGUUUCCUCAUCUGUAACGUGGAUUUCAUAAAAAUCACUUCUUGUAUUGUAAGCGUUGAAAGCAUGAAUAUACAUAUAAUGUAAAUAAUUUCUCAUUGGAUAAAUCACAUGAAAAGUACUCAAUAAAUAAAACAUUAUUGUUUGUUAAUUCUU